UACAGAGGUCUCAAGCGUUGUUCGGAUUCAUUGGGCGUAAAGGGUGCGUAGGCGGUCGGGUAAGUCUGAUGUGAAAUCUCACAGCUUAACUGUGAAACUGCAUUGGAUACUAUCCGGCUAGAGGAAUGGAGGGGAGACUGGAAUACUUGGUGUAGCAGUGAAAUGCGUAGAUAUCAAGUGGAACACCAGUGGCGAAGGCGAGUCUCUGGACAUUUCCUGACGCUGAGGCACGAAAGCCAGGGGAGCAAACGGG
rnacentral:rRNA from 1 species